rnacentral:rRNA from 1 species
UACACACUGCCCGUCACAUCAUGGAAGUUGAUCACGCCCAAAACCUGUUAGCUAACCCGUAAGGGAGGCGGCAGUCUACGGUAGGGUUGAUGACUGGGGUU